GCCUGGCUAGCUCAGCUGGUAGAGCAUGAGACUUUUAAGCUCAGGGUUUGAGCCCCACGCUGGGUA